rnacentral:rRNA from 1 species
GACGUAGGGCGCGAGCGUUGUCCGGAUUUAUUGGGCGUAAAGAGCUCGUAGGCGGCUCGUUGCGUCGGCUGUGAAAACCCGCAGCUCAACUGUGGGCUUGCAGCUGAUACGGGCGGGCUGGGAUUCGGUAGGGGAGACUGGAAUUCCUGGUGUAGCGGUGAAAUGCGUAGAUAUCAGGAGGAACACCUGUGGCGAAAGCGGCUCACUGGACCAUAACUGACGCUGAUGCACGAAAGCUAGGGGAGCAAACAGG